GACGAACGCUGGCGGCGUGCUUAACACAUGCAAGUCGAGCGGUAAGGCCCUUUCGGGGGUACACGAGCGGCGAACGGGUGAGUAACACGUGGGUGACCUGCCCUUAGCUCUGGGAUAAGCCUGGGAAACUGGGUCUAAUACCGGAUAUGACUCCAUGACGCAUGUUGUGGGGUGGAAAGCCUUGUGCGGCUAGGGAUGGGCCCGCGGCCUAUCAGCUUGUUGGUGGGGUGAUGGCCUACCAAGGCGACGACGGGUAGCCGGCCUGAGAGGGCGACCGGCCACACUGGGAC
rnacentral:rRNA from 1 species